rnacentral:rRNA from 1 species
UGGGGAAUUUUGGACAAUGGGGGCAACCCUGAUCCAGCAACGCCGCGUGAAGGAUGAAGUAUUUCGGUAUGUAAACUUCGUAAGAAUAGGAAGAAUAAAUGACGGUACUAUUUGUAAGGUCCGGCUAACUACGUGCCAGCAGCCGCGGUAAUACGUAGGGACCAAGCGUUGUUCGGAUUUACUGGGCGUAAAGGGCGCGUAGGCGGUGUGUCAAGUCAGUUGUGAAAUCUCCGAGCUUAACUCGGAACGGUCAACUGAUACUGUCACACUAGAGUACAGAAGGGGCAAUCGGAAUUCUUGGUGUAGCGGUGAAAUGCGUAGAUAUCAAGAGGAACACCUGAGGCGAAGGCGGGUUGCUGGGCUGAUACUGACGCUGAGGCGCGAAAGCUAGGGUAGCAAACGGGAUUAGAUACCCUGGUAGUCCCUGAGCGGGCUGGCAAGGCGCAU